rfam:Marivirga tractuosa DSM 4126, complete genome.
UUUUCCGUGAGGAAUGCAGUGAAGAAAGCGGGACUACAAAAUCCGGUACUGACAAACAGGAACGGCAUACAGAGGCCAGAUAGAGAGGGUAAGCAAGCACAUCUUUGCAAAGCCCGUAACCAGCAAUCUCUAUUAGGUAGAUGUCGCAGGGAUCGGAGGAAGGAAUAUGUC